UUUCAUUCUUUCUAUAGGAAAUGUCUUUGUUUUCUUAUUUGGCAUAUCCUAGAGUUUUCUUAAGGUUCUAAUAUCCCUUCAUGGCCUCAUAUUUGUCUGAUGAAAUCCAAAAUGAUGCUUAGUAGUUGAUGGGACAUAGGUAUCUCAGUCCAUUUUCAGUUGUUCUAACAAAAUACUUCAGCCUUGAUACUUUAAAGAAAAGAAAUUUGUUUCACUCACAGACCUGGAUAUUCACACUCUCGAAGAAAACAAGGACAUUUGGUGGUGCAUGCCUGUAAUCCCAGUACAUACUCUGGGAGAUGGAGGCCUGGGGACCACAAGUUUGAGCCCAGCCGGGACAUCUCAGCAACUUGGAUUGUGAUGAAGUAAAGAUGCCCAAGACUGAAGUCUGGAAUGAUGAGCUACCACGUGGAGUACAGAUGUCCCAAAGAGCUACCUGGACCUGCAAUGAUUUAGUAACAGAGGAAGGGGCUUCUGGGCCACCAUUCCACCGCUCCCAGCACAGAGGAGACAAGCCGU
ensembl:lncRNA